rnacentral:lncRNA from 10 species
AUCUGGUCCCGGCACGCCUCGCGCAGGUUGCGCAUCCAGCGCUGGAUGCCGCGGCGGUUUAGGUAGAGCACCAUGAGGAAGAUGAGGCCGAUGAGUGCCAGCACCAGCCCGAAGAACACGUAGGAGGCUUCCAGCUCCGGGCCGGCGGCCUCCGCCUCCUCUCCGCGAGCGUCGGCGCCGCUGUCCGCGCAGCGAAGCCGCGCCCCGUCCAGGUCCAGUAGCGGCCGGUCUAGCAGCGCCCGCGGGGCGGCGCAGCGCAGGCGCCGCGAGUCGGGCACGCGCUCCGUGGCGUUGCGCAGCCAGGCCAGCAGGGGGCGUGCGGCACAGCCGCAGCGCAGGGGGUUGUCGGCGAGCAGCAGGCGCGGCCCGGGGAGGCCGCCAUCGCGCUCCAGCGCGCGCAGCUCGUCGGGGUCCAGGCCGGCCAGCGCGUUGAGGCGCACGUCCAGCUGCUCCAGGCGCGCCAGGCGCAGGGCGGCUGGCGGCAGACGGCUCAGCGCGUUGCCCGCUAGGCCCAGCAGGCGAAGCUCGGCCAGCGGUGCCAGCGCAGCGUCCAGCGCGGCCAGCAGCGCGGGGCCGCCGCGCACCAGCGCGUGGUUGAGCUGCAGCGAGCGCAGCGCGGGCAGCCCGCGGAAGGCGCCGCCGCCCAGGGCGCGCAGCGGGUUGUGGCUGAGGUCGAGCGCCGCCAGGCUGGGCAGCCCGUCGAAGGCGCCGUCCUCCACCACCUCGAUGUGGUUGUGCGUGAGGCGCAGCGCGCUCAGGAGCGGCAGGCGCACGCCCGCCGCCUGGUCGCCGUCCCCGUCCCCGCCGGCGAAGGCGGCCGCGCGCAGCACCGUCAGGUUGGCGCCUACGAUGGUGAGGUUGCGCGCGUCGGGCGGCACGUCCCGCGGAGGCUGGCGGAGCUCGGCUCCCGACGCGCAGCGCAGCAGCAGCUUGGGGCCGCCGAAGCAGUAGCACUGGAAGGGGCAGGGUGCCGCGGGCUGGCUCAGCGCCGCCGCCACGAGCAGCAGCCCCUGGAGCCCCGGCUGUCCCGCGCGCGGGGCCAUCGCGGCCGCCCCCGCAUCCAGCGCCCGGGCCGCCGCGCUCACCAGUGAGUUGGGAGCGCCUGGUGGGGGGCACGGGUGGGGCGAGUCCUUGACCCGGAGCGGCUGGCAGUCCCGGUCGGUCCGUUCGCUGUCUCGAAAGUCUGAGGAGCCGCACUUACUGGCUGACUGGCCGGGGGCAAGAGGGGUCAGACGGGGAGCGGAGCCCCCCGCCCCCGGUGCCCUCGCCCUGCGCGCCGGCCUCCGGCUUCCGCGGCCGCUCCGGGCUCCGAGCCGAGUGGGCAGGGUUUGCCUCCCCCCUCCCCGCCUCCCGGUCUCGUCCUCCGCCCCCAGCGGAGUCUCCGCGCCCUCCUCGCCGUGGGAGGCGGGGUGGGAGGCUCCCGAGAAUCAGGGCUGUCGGCUGCUGCGCUUUCUCUUCAUCCUCUCCGCCCCCGCCCCUCCGGGCUGCCGAGAAGUUUGGCUCCUGGAGGCUCCGACUUGGUUUUCCUCCUCCUCCACCCCCAACAUUUAAGCUGGGUCCUUCCUCCUCCUUCUCCAGCACGUGUGGGGCGGGGCCCGACUGCGGAGAGCAGGCAGGUGGGUCACCACCAGGGAGAAUUCGGGGGUUGGGGAGGACUUUAGAGCUGCUCCUACUACCGGAGGAAGGGAUGAGGGGUGGGCUGAGAAAGUUACUCAUUUUCCGGCCUCUUCCUAAGGCAGAGAGACUGGAAAAUCCCCAGUCUCUGCUUCCUCCUCUGCGACCCUAGUUCCAUUAGACCUGGCUGUGUCACCACCCCUGCAGGUCCUAUGGGACCAGCUUUUUCUCCAUCCCAUCCCAUCCCAUUCUCAGGAGAAGUCUGUGGCACCCGCUCCCCUCCCACCCACCAACUCUGGCUGCUCUGCCUCUGCCAGGAGUUCCCCCGUGUGGUUUCCUCCACCGGGCUGGGCUUCUCUGCCAAGCACUGUCCUAGGCACAGAGACCCGGGGGUGUAGUGAUUCUGCUCUUUGCUUUCACUCCCUGCCCCCAAACCUCUUAAGACUCCUGGGGUUCCGUUGGACACUGUCAACUAGUCCCUCCAGGCUUCUCCGCCUGUGAGUGGGGUUUGGGGCACCAGAGGUUGGGAGAGCAGGAGCAGAUAACUGGGAAGCUCUAAACCUGAUUUAAAGAGACAGGCUCCUGAGAAGGGAGGAUUCCUGGCCUUAGCAUGAAUUAUUCAGGCUGGAGAGGCUGACACUUGAUCCGCAGGCCAUUCGGGUAUCAGCAGAGCUGGUUGGAAUAGAGGCUCCCCACCUCCUCCCAAGAAUCAGUCUCUUUCUCCUGAAUUGGGUACGGUUGUUAUGUUGACUCCUUCCCUGAGGUUAUAUUUAACAGAUCGACCAAAGGAUCAAUACCACUUAAGGAGAAGAGGCAGACCCUGCAGUGGCCUGGGUCUUGGGCAAGGACCAACAUUAAGGAACAGAGCUGGUGAUGAUGGGGGUCUCCCAGCUCUCCCCUCCUCCAAGCCCCUCUCUCUUCCCUACCCCCUGUCUUAACUCUCCCAGGUAUGAGAGCUCAGAUGUGUCUCAUGCAAGUCCAUGCAGACUCAUUCAUAUGUGGACAUAGGAUCGUAGGUUUGAGUGCGUCCUGGCAUGUGUCCAUAAAUUCAUAAAGACAUACAUAUUUGAAUAUGCACACUUCUGAGCCCAUGCAGGUUCGUGGAUACAUUCUCAGAGGGCAAGCUUACAGGCCCAUGCUUAAGCCAUGCCAAGCAUAGGGACCCAGCGAUUGGCUAGCACAGUCAGACCCUACUCCUCCUGCCCUGCACCAUGCCCUUGGUCUGUGGAGGUAACAGGCUGGUGAUGUCUUUUCUCACAUGGGCACACGUGCUCAAGUAGAUGCCACUGGGGCUGGGCCCCCAGCUAUAGCCCUCCCCUAAACCCCGGCCCACACAGCAACAUGCCCCAGCUCUGACAUCUCCCCUGGUAGGAGGCACUAGGUCGUUUUCACUUUUCUGUUUCCAGUAUAGAGACUAUCUCAGGAGAGUGUGUGGUGCAAAUGACAGACUGAAUGAACAGAAGUCUCUGUUUCCUUGUCUGCUUCCAGGCCCUGAGGAAUCAGACCACUACCAAGGCUGGAACUCCUUCCCCAGGCCCCGGUGGUGGCUGGCCUCAGAUUGGCUGAUGCCCCCCUCCCCUGCUGCCCCCCAGGAAAGGAGCUGCAGGACCACAGGCAGCCUUGAUUGGGGGGGUGCUCAACACCUCAUUUGGGGAAAUGAGGCCUGGAGAGAAUUUAGAAUCAUCAGGUGCCAGAGAAUAAGGCAAAUGUCGUCUGUUUUGCACAAAUGGGGAAAUAGGCCAGAGGGGCCCCAAGGCCCCUGUCAAGUUUUCAGAGUUUAGCCUAGAAACCUGACCCCAGGGUCCUUGCCCAGGACUCUGUCCAAGAUGGUGGGCUGCAUCUGAGAGGGUCCUGCACCACAAGGAAUGCUUAUCCUGACCCCAAGAAGCUGAGGCUGGGAAUGGAUGCCAUGGUUGAUCUGGUGUGACCUCAGGCCUUUCUCAAUCUUGGGCUGUCACCUUCCUCUUCUAUAAGGUAGAUAGGCUUUAAAUUCCUGUUCUUCCUAUUCCUCUCAGGGCUGUUAUGAUAAAGUGAGUUGAAAGUGCCUCAAAACAAGAAAAAACAUUUCACCUGGGUCUGGGGGCCUAGCACCCGUCCUGCCAGACCCUGGGUAAGGCAUUGCCCCUCUCUGGGACUAAUUAGCUCCCAUGUCAUUUUUCCCUGUUCCAUGUUCUUUCCUUCUCCAACACAGCAGAUUUGUGGUGGAUGUUAAUGAGUCUCUGCUUGUCUCUCUGUAUGGCCUCUACUCAGCCUCCUCUCCUCUCUUCCCACUUUGUAAAGGUGCUUCCCGUCUAAAUUCUCCUGGAACCAAUUUCUCUCUGUCCAAGUUCCCCAAGGAAUCAAGUCUGCGAGCCAUUGGGGCUGAGGGAUCUCUGUUCUUUGGAGGAACAGCGCUCUCCAUCUUAGAUUUGCCAGUGUUCAGUAUGCAUUAAGUGUUCAAUAAAUGUGUGUCCACUUGAGUCUGAGGCUGUGUGUUUAUUCUCUGAUGCAUCUGGUGGAAGUCUCUUUUCUUGGACUGUUUGCCCCAGCUGGGGUGCUCUCCUCUUGAUUCUGUUUCUCCAGUCCAGUCAGCUGUCCCUCAGGACUUGUGAGUUUUGCCCCCUUCAGGGAGCCCUCAUGGCUUCCCUCUCCAUCCUUUGAACUUCACUGAUCAAUUAGAGGGCUAAGACUCCCCUGAUCUUCUUGACUGUCAGCAGCUAGGGCUCAGGUCUGGUCUAAUUUCUUAGGGAUCAGUACAGAGAAGGCACCAGGGAAUAUUUGCUGACUGAAAUAAUGAUUUAAAAAUCUGUGACUCGAGCCUCUCAUCCCUAUGAGGCAAGCUCGGUGAGGACCCCUCAUCUACACUUCAUACCAGGAGAUAGCUGCUCAGAAAUGUUAAGUGCUUUCCCCAAGGUUGCACACCUGACUGGGACCUGAGCCAGAUAGAAGCUCGGGUUUCUUGCCCAUCUCCUUUGCCGCAGCCCCCCCUCAUCCUAGGAUCCCUCUCUCCUGGGAGUGUGGCUGGGUCAGAUCCCAGGGGAGCCUGUGGGCAAAGAGCUCACGCCCUCAGGGUUUCCUUAGGACUCGGAAGAAGCGAGGCACCCCUCGCCACCCAAGCAGAGUGAUCAUCUGCCCUUUGCCCAGAUGAGUACCCCUCAUGUCAGCCACACUGGAUCUUCACGCUUGCUUGAAUUUAUUACUCCACUAGGUCCCAGAGCCCUUCUCUUAGUAUUCCAAGGUGUUGUCUCUACCUGAGCCUCUAGUGCCUUCGCUGGGCCUUUUCUGCUGGCACAGACCCUGCUGUUGAUCAGCUCCACUAAGCCUUGGUAGGGAGCACAGAGUGUGAUGACGUCCCUGAGAUCACCCAGCAGGUAGCCCCUUCUCCAGCUCUGUUUUGUCAUCAGAGGUGUGUCAAUAUUAUUAAAGUCCUUGGACACACCUCAGUUUCCCUGUCUGCAAAAAAGUGUGUGUGGAUGGGAUGGUCCUGGGGGGCCUAGUAGUCUUGUGCCCCUUGGCAUUUUAGGGAUGGGGGUCAGGGAGGGGAAGGUCAUACUGGGAUUUGCCCAAGUUGGUGCCCCCACCUUCUCAAUAUAUGACCUUGAACUUGGUACCACCCCAAUUAAGGCCUUGGUUGCCCGACUAGAAAGUGGUAGGGGUGGCUGGGUGUGGUGCCUCAUGCCUGUAAUCCCAGAACUUUGGGAGGCCGAGGUGGGCAGAUCACAAGGUCAGGAGAUUGAGGCCAUCCUGGCGAACAUGGUGAAACCCCGUCUCUACUAAAAAUACAAAAAAGAAUUAGCCGGGCGUGGUGGUGGGCACCUGUAGUCCCAGCUACUCAGGGGGGCUGAGGAAGAAAGUGGUAGGGGUGGUCUGGGGUCCUUCUGGAGCGGAUGCUGUAGCAUCCUGAGAUCCAGGCUCCCUUUGUCCUCUGUCCCAGCAGCCCUCCUGCUGCCUUCCCAUCCCUCUGUUCCCCCCUCCUCCAAGGCAAAUGGAGGAGCAGCAGGCGGCCUGACGUGAUGAACUCAGCCACGAGGUAGUGGGGGAGGCCCCAGCUUCUCUCCUCUUGCUUGGCUUCCUUGCCAGCAGGGACGGGAGACUUCACUGUGGGCCUUGCCAUUCCCAUUUCUCACUCCCCCUCCCCUCCCCCACUGCUGUGAGACACAGGAAAAUCCAUAGGCCCAAGAUUCAUUUUCUCCGUUGAGUCAGCAGAGGCCAGCGCUGCUUCUGAGGGGCAGGCAACUGGCUUUUAAAUAACUCUCUGAUAUUUAAUACCCUCCUCCUCCGCUCUGUGGCCUGGGCCUCUGGGGAAAGGCUAGAAUAAAUGAGCUGGAUGCGUCCUCCGAAAGUCCUAAAUGUUCUUACCCCCACCUCAGUCUUCCCCCCAACCCCCAACUCUCAGACCAUUGGAAAAGAUGACUCCUUACUACAUCUGUACCUUGCUUUACAGUUUCUAAGUGGUGGCAGGCUGGGUUUGUUGUCCCAGUUUAGAAUGGGAAAUGGACAUUUAGAAAAGGAGAGAGAUCCCACUUGACUUUUGGUCUUUGUCUGCUGUUGGCUGGCUGUGUGGCUGUGGGCAGGUGGGUCCCUGUCCCUCCCUGGGCUUCUGUUUCCUCAUCUGUGCUGCAAGGUGGUUCGGCCAGUGGGUUGUUGUUGGUCCCCCUUGGCUGUGUAAUGUUAUGAUUUGCUGUGCUGGCCUAGGUCUCCUUCCCUAAUGAAGCCUCUGUUUCUCCACUCCUCUUCAAGGAAAGGCUAAAGGGCAGAGCCGACUGAGGCUAAAGGCCAGCUAAGGUCUGACCCCUAGGAUUCCACUCUGUUGAGUCAGGGACAGGAGUGGGUAGGGGAGAGGGGAAAGGGAAAGGAGCAGAGUUGGGUGCCUUCCCUUCCCUUCCCUUGUCUUCCCUUCCCUCCCCUCCACUCCCCUCCCCUUUCAUUAUUUCUUGCUUUUGCCAGUAGAGGUUGGGACAGACCAAGGGCAAUAACCUGUCUUGGUUCUCUUAAAACCCAAGGUCUCUACCACUGUGGAUGCAGUUUAAUGAGGUGGGAGCAAAACCCUCUUCCUCAGCUGUGCCCAGGCCCAGGAUCCUGAUCAUGGAAGUUAGUGGGCCCAGUUCUCCUGGUUUUGCCACUGUUCUGCAUUAUUCAGAAGACAGGGAUUGAUAUCUCUGUUGGCUAUAUGAGAACACUGGGAGGUUAAGAGCUGUGCUUGGGGUCAUCCCAGAUUAAUGAUGGAACAGGGCCUAUAAUCUAGGUUUUCUGAUUCCCAACUCCGUGUUCAUGCCACUUCCCUGAUUCAGGCAGGAAGUUGGGGCCUGAGGGGUGAGCAUGGGAGAGGCAGCUGGUUCUGUAGGGGUGACCUUUGUUUGCCCAACUUCUUUAGCCUCCUCUUGGGUCCUCAUGCUCUUCUUCAAUGUACUGAGCCUUCUGCUUCUAGAAUCACAGAAUCUUGGAAUCAAAACAUUGACUGCUAAGAACCACAGACUCAGAGAGCCAUAGAACUGUGGUCUCUGAAUUAGAACAAAGACUUAUGGUAUUGGUAGUAUGGUGGUGGUGAAUGAGACACUUAGAGCUUGUGGUAGGUUGUUAAUAUUGAUGGUCCCAAAUGAAUUCUGCGUAUCUGAGUCCAUACUUUUAUGUUGUCCCACCCCAUACUGACUUUGGGUUGGCCGUGUGACUUCCUCUGGUUAAUGAGACGUCAGCAAAUGUGAUGCAAGGAGAGUCUUAAAAAGUGCUUGUGCAUUGGGAUUCACCUCUUCUUGCUCCCCUGAAACUGCCAUGUGUAGGAACACAAGCAUGCCUUUUAGAGGAAGAGACCAGAAGUAAACCAUCCCAGCUGGAGAUGAACCAGCUCCCUGAUGGUCUUCCGCCUGCCUCCAGCCACCUGAGUGACCCCAGAUAAGACCAACAGAACUACUCAGCUGACCCGAGCCCAAAUUUCUGACUCACAGAAUUGUGAACAAAUAAAAUGGUGGUUGUUUUAAGUCACUAAGUUUUGGGGUGGUUUGUUACACAGCAGUAGAUAACGGAUGCAGAACCUCAUCAUUGUAGAAUCUUGGUCAUAGAUCCAAUAUGCCCUGACAGUCACAGCAUCGUGGAACCCCAGGACCAGAAACUGGAACCACUGAUGUAGAAUCCAAGAAACAGAAGAGUCCUGAAAACGCCUUAACUCCCACCCAAUGGUACCCUCUCCUUUCACUGUCAGACCAGGUGACCACUCAUCUUUCAACGUUGAGCCCUCUCCCCACCCACAGGUGUCUCUUAUUCUUUAGCGUUG